rnacentral:rRNA from 1 species
AAUCAACGCUGGCGGCGUGCCUAACACAUGCAAGUCGAACGCGACUUGGGCUUCGGUCCAAGUUGAGUGGCGAACGGGUGAGUAACACGUGGGUGACCUACCUUCGAGUGGGGGAUAACGUCCCGAAAGGGACGCUAAUACCGCAUAACAUCCUGCCUUUGAACAGGCGGAGAUCAAAGCCGGGGAUCGCAAGACCUGGCGCUUGAUGAGGGGCCCGCGCCUGAUUAGCUAGUUGGUGAGGUAAUGGCUCACCAAGGCAACGAUCAGUAUCCGGCCUGAGAGGGCGGACGGACACACUGGGACUGAGACACGGCCCAGACUCCUACGGGAGGCAGCAGUGGGGAAUUGUUCGCAAUGGGCGCAAGCCUGACGACGCAACGCCGCGUGGAGGAUGAAGGUCUUCGGAUUGUAAACUCCUGUUGCUCGGGACGAAAAGCUUCGACCUAACACGUCGAGGUCUGACGGUACCGAGUGAGGAAGCCCCGGCUAACUCUGUGCCAGCAGCCGCCGUAACAC